rnacentral:rRNA from 1 species
UACGGGGGCAAGCGUUGUUCGGAAUUACUGGGCGUAAAGGGCGCGUAGGCGGUCGUGACAAGUCACUUGUGAAAUCUCCGGGCUUAACUCGGAACGGUCAAGUGAUACUGUCGGACUAGAGUACAGAAGGGGCAACUGGAAUUCUCGGUGUAGCGGUGAAAUGCGUAGAUAUCGAGAGGAACACCUGCGGCGAAGGCGGGUUGCUGGGCUGAUACUGACGCUGAGGCGCGAAAGCCAGGGGAGCGAACGGG